CCUACGGGAGGCUGCAGUGAGGAAUAUUGGUCAAUGGACGAGAGUCUGAACCAGCCAAGUAGCGUGAAGGAUGACUGCCCUAUGGGUUGUAAACUUCUUUUAUAUGGGAAUAAAAUGUUUCACGUGUGGGAUUUUGUAUGUACCAUAUGAAUAAGGAUCGGCUAACUCCGUGCCAGCAGCCGCGGUAAUACGGAGGAUCCGAGCGUUAUCCGGAUUUAUUGGGUUUAAAGGGAGCGUAGGUGGAUUGUUAAGUCAGUUGUGAAAGUUUGCGGCUCAACCGUAAAAUUGCAGUUGAAACUGGCAGUCUUGAGUACAGUAGAGGUGGGCGGAAUUCGUGGUGUAGCGGUGAAAUGCUUAGAUAUCACGAAGAACUCCGAUUGCGAAGGCAGUUCACUGGACUGCAACUGACACUGAGGCUCGAAAGUGUGGGUAUCAAACAGGAUUAGAUACCCGAGUAGUC
rnacentral:rRNA from 1 species